rnacentral:rRNA from 1 species
CAGUAGCCGCGGUAAUACGAAGGGGGCUAGCGUUGCUCGGAAUUACUGGGCGUAAAGGGCGCGUAGGCGGAUGUUUAAGUCAGAGGUGAAAGCCCAGGGCUCAACCUUGGAACUGCCUUUGAUACUGGACAUCUUGAGUGUGGGAGAGGUGAGUGGAACUCCGAGUGUAGAGGUGAAAUUCGUAGAUAUUCGGAAGAACACCAGUGGCGAAGGCGACUCACUGGCCCAUUACUGACGCUGAGGCGCGAAAGCGUGGUGAGCAAACAGGAUUAGAUACCCGCGUAGUCCCUGUCUCUUAUAC